rnacentral:rRNA from 1 species
GACGAACGCUGGCGGCGUGCUUAACACAUGCAAGUCGAACGGAAAGGCCCUGCUUUUGUGGUGUGCCCGUGUGGCGAACGGGUGAGUAACGCGUGCGUAACGUGCCCUUGACUUUGGGAUAACUUCAGGAAACUGGGGCUAAUACCGUAUAGGAGCCCCCGCUGCAUUGUGGGGGUUGGAAAGUUUCUGCGGUUGGGGUUGGACUAGCGGCUUAUCAGCUUGUUGGUGGGGUAGUGGCUUACCAAGGCUUUGACGGGUAGCCGGCCUGAGAGGGUGACCGGCCACACUGGGACUGAGAUACGGCCCAGACUCCUACGGGAGGCAGCAGUGGGGAAUAUUGCACAAUGGGCGGAAGCCUGAUGCAGCAACGCCGCGUGCGGGAUGACGGCCUUCGGGUUGUAAACCGCUUUCGCCAGGGAAGAAGCGAGAGUGACGGUAAUGGGUGAAGAAGCACCGGCUAACUACGUG